UGACUCAGGCACCGGGACAGAGUCCCAUACGCCUGCGCCAGGCUUAGAAGAGACAUGCGCCCCAGUCAGCACAGGCCCCGCCCAGAGGCUGUGGCCUGAAACGCGCCUGCGCGCUUUAGGUAUUAGGACGAGGCAUGCGUCGCAGAGGUCGACGCCCGACCUCUCCGGAUGCUGACAAGUGUCUCCACCUCAUCUAUUGUCCCUCCACUCAAUUCUGAAGACUGCCAACCCAAUCUGAAGGAACAGCUCUAACCACAUCACUCCCUGGCAAAGGUUUGCAAAAUGCUUUACAAAUAGCUUUUUAAAUCCUUGAAAUCUCUCUUUUUUAUAGAGGAGGAAAUCAAAAGCCAGGCAGAUUAAGUAAGCUGCCUAGGGCAGGCUUGCCAGUAAAGUAACUGAGGUAGGAUCUGAAUCGGGAUUUUUUUGACCAGAUACCCCUAGUGCCCUCUCUAUCCCUGGCUCUUCUUAGUUUGCCUUCUACAGGUAAGGGGCAGAUCAUUCCUGCCUUCACUUUCAGCUUUCUUAGCAUGAGCUCAGAAUAUACUGAGCUGCAGUCCUAUCUACUAAGACAGUGUACACCCUGGGUCCUCACCAAUAAGCAUUCGGUAUUUGUGGGGGUGUCGUGCAUCCUCAAUGACAGGAAUGAUGUUUGUCCUCUUCUUGGCCACAUUGAUGAGGUCUCGGCCAGAUCGAUGAGAAAACUCAACAGCAUAGACUAGGCCUUCCUGAGCAGCAGAGGAGAACUCACUGUCUCCCUGUCCCACGACCAAAACCCACCACCCAGCCCUUCCGGCUAAGACCCAGACCAGAAUAUCUGCCUUGGAUGGAUCCAUUUCACAGUUCAGUAGUUGAUCAGAGUAGACAGUACCCUUGAGUAUCAUUACAUCCAACCCAUGGUGCUAACAGCGUUUUAAAGGGACUUGUCCCUGGCCACCAAAUGAGUAGCAGGAGCCAAGCAAAAAUCACUAGGCUUUCCUGCUGUACCAGAUGUCCUAACUCAAGCCCCUUUGCUCAGUUCCAGGCCUGCUGAAGAGUCUUGUUCAUGUAACUUACAAUCAGCUCUUUGGCCUUUGUAUUUUGGCAGUGAGGGAACUUUGGGCAAGACCCCCCUCUCAGUUCUUUUUCUUUCCCUAGAGUGAAGGGGUCUCCCAGACUUACAGGGCCCACAAUAUCAGAGACAUGUGAGACGGUGGUGCCUGAAGCUGCUCCUAAGUAGAGUACUUUGGCUCCAGGUCUGAUGUGAAUCUGAUCUACUCCACCCAGGAUGGCAGCGGCCAGCUUUGAUCGGAAUGGGUUCCAAGCGCGGUACUCCAACUUUGCCUCACCAUCCUGAAGGGGUUGAGAAAAGCAAGAGUCAGUCUUGUAUAACCUGAUGCUCCUAUAUCCCAGUCUUCUACUCCUUACUCCCCUCAAAAACACAGCCUGGGAUUCAAUGUGGUGGACUUGCUUUUCUCUUGACACCCAGUCUCCCACUUCGGGCAUUUCUACUGGCUGACAGGUUCUCCCAGGCUUAGAAUGAUCUUCCCUCCUAUCUCCUACCCACUCUGGCUUUCUUCAACCCCCACCUACAAUCUCACUUUCUAAGGAACCUUUUUUGAUCCCCAUAAUAUCGUCUUCCCUGUGAUAGUUUCCAAUUUAUUCCACAUAUAGGUUAUUUGUGUGUUGACAGUGUUCCUUUAACAUAGGCAAAAAUUUCCCCCUUUGUUGCAAUUGCAGCAUUAGCUAAAUGCUUUAAUGAUAGACUGAAAUGGGGACCUGUCCCACAACCCUUCCUGCCAAAAGUCUCAUGUUCCCAAUUCUCACCUCUACAGUGAUUCUCUUCUCUCCAUAAACUGACUCUCCUGGUACCAUGUUCUUUGUGACAAGAGCAUCUUCCUUUCCUCGACAAAUAAAAACUCCUGAUAAAGAAAAAGGGCCAGUGAGACCUAUGAGCAGCACCCUAUCCACCAUGUUCUCUCUUAGAUAUCCUAUCCCCCUGAAAUAAUGAAAAUUUGUAACAGAAAAGGCAGAAUUGCACAAUGGUUAUUUUUCUACCACUUCAUACUAGAUAUGUCCUUACCCUCAUGCCGAUGAGGUUCUACAGUAACCUUCUUUCCUCCUUGGAAACCUCCUCGACCACCUCGGCCCCGGCCUCGGGGAGUGCCUCGGC